rnacentral:rRNA from 1 species
AGGAACAUGUGGUUUAAUUUCGAUGAUACGCGAGGAACUUACCUGGGCUUAAAUGUAGAGCGACAGAUCGGGAAACUGGUCCUUCUUCGGACGAUCUACAAGGUGCUGCAUGGUUGUCGUCAGCUCGUGCCGUGAGGUGUCGGGUUAAGUCCCAUAACGAGCGCAACCCUUAUCGUUAGUUGCCAGCGGGUAAUGCCGGGGACUCUAACGAAACUGCCGGUGUAAACCGUGAGGAAGGUGGGAUGACGUCAAAUCAGCACGGCCCUUAUGUCCAGGGCGACACACGUGUUACAAUGGCCGGUACAGAGGGCAGCUACCUGGUGACAGGAUGCAAAUCUCCAAAACCGGUCUCAGUUCGGAUCGAAGUCUGCAACUCGACUUCGUGAAGCUGGAUUCGCUAGUAAUCGCGCAUCAGCCAUGGCGCGGUGAAUACGUUCCCGGGCCUU